UACGGAGGUGGCAAGCGUUGCUCGGAAUCACUGGGCGUAAAGGGCGCGUAGGCGGGGAGGUAAGUCGGGUGUGAAAUCCCUCGGCCCAACCGAGGAACUGCGCCCGAGACUGCUUCUCUUGAGUCCCGGAGAGGAGGAUGGAAUUCCCGGUGUAGCGGUGAAAUGUGUAGAGAUCGGGAGGAACACCGGUGGCGAAGGCGGUCUUCUGGACGGUGACUGACGCUGAGGCGCGAAGCGUGGGAGCAAACGGGAUUGA
rnacentral:rRNA from 1 species